GUGCUUGCUUUGGCAGCACAUAUACUAAAAUUGGAAUGAUACAGAGAAGAUUAGAUUAGUCCCUGCACAAGAAUGAUGCACAAAUUUGUGAAGCAUUAUUAUUAUUA